ACUCCUGCGGGAGGCAGCAGUGGGGAAUUUUGGACAAUGGGCGAAAGCCUGAUCCAGCAAUGCCGCGUGAGUGAAGAAGGCCUUCGGGUUGUAAAGCUCUUUUGUCAGGGAAGAAACGGUGAAAGCUAAUAUCUUUUGCUAAUGACGGUACCUGAAGAAUAAGCACCGGCUAACUACGUGCCAGCAGCCGCGGUAAUACGUAGGGUGCAAGCGUUAAUCGGAAUUACUGGGCGUAAAGCGUGCGCAGGCGGUUUUGUAAGUCUGAUGUGAAAUCCCCGGGCUCAACCUGGGAAUUGCAUUGGAGACUGCAAGGCUAGAAUCUGGCAGAGGGGGGUAGAAUUCCACGUGUAGCAGUGAAAUGCGUAGAUAUGUGGAGGAACACCGAUGGCGAAGGCAGCCCCCUGGGUCAAGAUUGACGCUCAUGCACGAAAGCGUGGGGAGCAAAUAGGAUUAGAUACCCCGGUAGUCC
rnacentral:rRNA from 1 species